rnacentral:rRNA from 1 species
GUAGGUGGCAAGCGUUGUCCGGAAUUAUUGGGCGUAAAGCGCGCGCAGGCGGUUCUUUAAGUCUGAUGUGAAGGCCCACGGCUCAACCGUGGAGGGUCAUUGGAAACUGGAGAACUUGAGUACAGAAGAGGAAAGCGGAAUUCCACGUGUAGCGGUGAAAUGCGUAGAGAUGUGGAGGAACACCAGUGGCGAAGGCGGCUUUCUGGUCUGUAACUGACGCUGAGGCGCGAAAGCGUGGGGAGCAAACAGGGAUUAGAUACCCUGGUAGUCCACGCCGUAAACGAUGAGUGCUAAGUGUUAGGGGGUUUCCGCCCCCUUAGUGCUGCAGCUAACGCAUUAAGCACUCCGCCUGGGGAGUACGGCCGCAAGGCUG